rnacentral:lncRNA from 1 species
AAAAAAAAGGAAAAAACAAAGGAAGAGAGAUUUAAACCUUAUGCACACUGCGCAAUUGGUUUUUCCCAAAAUAGAGCCCUAUUGAGAACACAUUUCAAACUGAUUUCAUGUUCGCCUUCUCCGACAGAAUCAGUCCAUGUUCGCUUCUCCAACAGAUUUCCCCAUUUGACUUGUGCAUUUUCCAUUCAAAAAAAUCAGUCAACGUGAGAAGACAACUGAGAAAGGGGGCUUUGAAAGUAGAGGAUGUUUACAACUCUGACUUCGAAGAAAUCAGUCCAAGUUUGUCUUCUACGACCGCUCGACCCCCACCUCAGCUAAUUUCCCAGGCCAUUUGGGCAUUUCCAGUUCCAAAAAAGAUUGUCGGAUGCAAUUGAAGUAGAUUCUCAACCCACAAACGGUGAUUAAGAAAGCGAGACAACUUCAAAAUUCUAGAUUUCUUUAGUAUUGUGCAUUUUGAAGGUGUGAUAUUGCGUUAAAUGCAUUUUGAAAAAUAUAUAGUUUCAUUCUCUUCGCAUUUUGGAUUAUGAUCUAAAAAAUCAGUAGUUUGUUAAAUGCAUUACGGGAAAUUAAGGAUAUCUGCAUCUUCAAACUAUAUUUUGUAAAAUUUUAGUUCCACAAAAGUGACGAGAAUUAAAUUCUGGUUUUUGUGUUGUCAUUACAAA